CAGAAAAAUUACAGCUUAAGAAUCCAAUGGAUUGAAUCAUCAGUCAUUUGUGGAUAAUAUUAUUUUAGGCCUGUUUCUGUGCCUUUAUGUGCAAACAUUUGGAGAGAUCAGGCAAAAUCCAUGGAAAACAAUAUGCCUCGGAGGAAUGUUUCCCUGAUGAACCGUGUAUUUCCCGCCAUCAGGAUGAUGUGCAGCUCCUGGAACAAUUCCCUCCAGCAUUCUACACCACUGUGCGCUGUUAUGGUGCCUCCAUGCCGUCUCCACCCGAAAUCGUUCUGCAGAGGAAAGUGGGGAACGUGUCUGUCGGCAGUGGGUCAAGGCCGUUUGGAUGUUCUGCGUGGGCUCUAAAAUGUACAGGGGCAGCUUGACCAGCUGGGGUCCUUCCUACUUUCCAGGGCUUGGUAAUUAGGAAAAUAAAUGCACCCCCAAAUUAGCAUUCUGAGAACACCCCACUCAUUUCUUUACAACAUGAAAAAAAAUUCUCAAUUCA